GAUGAACGCUGGCGGCGUGCCUAAUACAUGCAAGUCGAGCGAACGGACGAGAAGCUUGCUUCUCUGAUGUUAGCGGCGGACGGGUGAGUAACACGUGGAUAACCUACAUAUAAGACUGGGAUAACUUCGGGAAACCGGAGCUAAUACCGGAUAAUAUUUUGAACCGCAUGGUUCAAAAGUGAAAGACGGUCUUGCUGUCACUUAUAGAUGGAUCCGCGCUGCAUUAGCUAGUUGGUAAGGUAACGGCUUACCAAGGCAACGAUGCAUAGCCGACCUGAGAGGGUGAUCGGCCACACUGGAACUGAGACACGGUCCAGACUCCUACGGGAGGCCGCAGUAGGGAAUCUUCCGCAAUGGGCGAAAGCCUGACGGAGCAACGCCGCGUGAGUGAUGAAGGUCUUCGGAUCGUAAAACUCUGUUAUUAGGGAAGAACAUAUGUGUAAGUAACUGUGCACAUCUUGACGGUACCUAAUCAGAAAGCCACGGCCAACUACGUG
rnacentral:rRNA from 1 species